UGAACAAAAACCAGUCUGCACCUGUAUACGAGACAUCGCUUGACCUUAUUGUUAUUGAAGUGCACAUGCUAGCUGGCCAAUCAACAUUGAGCUCGCUUACACAUGAAAUGACGUUGUUGAAUGAAAUGUAAAAAUGGGUGGAGCUAUGGAGUAAUAUUUGGUCAUUCAUGCGUAGACACUGUGCACUUUGAAUACACAGUUAAUAUUGUCGUCUGGAAAAAAAAUAGCGGCCGGUCGCAAAUGUCGUAUUAUUAAAGAUUAACAAUGAAAAGAAGCGUGACAAUAAUUUAAUUAUUUCCAAGCUGUCUAUUGAUCUGAAUUUAAAAGUGGUAAUUAAAUAAUUAGUACCAUGUCGAUGAUGUUACAACUUUCUGCCAAUUUCCGAUCGAAAUGAAAAGAUGAUAAUUAAUGAGUUUGUUUGUUUUACUCGCACACUAUGCUAACUGACAGCAGCGUAUUUUAAUCAGAUGAAAAUGUGAAAAACACGCGCGGUUUAAUUGUAAUUAAAGUUUCGAAUUUUUAACACAUAGGAAGAGUCAUUCAUUUAGUCUACUAUAAAAAUGGAAGUAACCACUUUGUCUCUACAGUCGCGAACAUGGCGUCUUUAACCUUAAAGCGUCGUUGGACGAAAAAGAGUCAUAACAAAAAAAAAUAAAUUAAAACACAAAACACUAGAGCAUUCCAAGAGUCAUGGAAACUUGACAACAAUUAACUUCGCUUUGAUAAUGAAUCAAAAUCAAUGUACUGUGACGCCCUUAGCCUGUACAAACCAUUAGCAACAUUCAAAUUUAUGUACACUGCUCACUUCCUGUGCGAUGCGCUAAAACCCAUUGCCAUUUUAUCAAAAAAUGUACCAGAAAAAAGACUUGUGCUAUUCUGAGGUUACCCUCCUUUUGACAGCCACUAUUCAGACUCUUGAGCACCUGUCAGAGACUAGGUCAGGUCUCAUGAUGAAAAAAAUUCUGAAGGUCACACCCCAAACACCAGAGACUGAUAAAGAUGGCUUGUUUACUUUUGAAUAUGAAGGUCACACUAUCACAGACAGACAAACAAAAAAUGGUUGGCUCAAAGAAAUUUUGGGCCAGCGCUAGCCCUGAAGAAGUGCAUAAAGAGCUAGGAAUAUUGAAUAAUAUACAACGACUAAAUACCACAUGUGCAAUGUUAAUCAUUUGGUCAGUGUUAAAACAAUCAUGGGUGCAUCAACUGACCCUUUUUCACCCUGAAAUCAGUCGACUGGUAAAAAAAAAAAAAAAAAAAAAAAAAAAACCUACCUACCCUCGAACAUUUUACUGGCCAUGUUCCCUGAACCAAGACUUUUUAACCAGGUUUUCCGAAGGAAAAAACUGGUUAUUAGAUUGGCGAAUGCGGGCGGGCUGGCUGGCUGGCGGGCUGGCUGGCUGGCGGGCUGGCUGGCUGGCUGGCGGGCUGGCGGAAUAAGCUUGUCCGGGCCAUAACUAUGUCGUUCAUUGUCAGAUUUUAAAAUCAUUUGGCACAUUUGUUCACCAUCAUUGGACGGUGUGUCACGCGAAAUAAUUACGUCGAUAUCUCCAAGGUCAAGGUCACACUUUGAGUUCAAAGGUCAAAAAUGGCCAUAAAUGAGCUUGUCCUGGCCAUAACUAUGUCAUUCAUUGUGAGAUUUUAAAAUCAUUUGGCACAUUUGUUCACCAUCAUGGGACGGUGUGUCCCACGAAAGAUUCACGUCAAUAUCUCCAAUGUCAAGGUCGCCACGACUAAAAAUAGAUUUAAAAAAAAAAAAAAACUUACAAAGGGGGUUAAUUUUUUUUGGUCAUAUCAAAAGUUCAG